rnacentral:rRNA from 1 species
CACGUAGGGGGCGAGCGUUGUCCGGAUUUAUUGGGCGUAAAGAGCUCGUAGGCGGUUCGGCAAGUCGGGUGUGAAAUUUCGAGGCUCAACCCUCGAAACGCCACUCGAUACUGCUGUGACUGGAGUCCGGUAGAGGAGUGCGGAAUUCCUGGUGUAGCGGUGAAAUGCGCAGAUAUCAGGAGGAACACCAACGGCGAAGGCAGCACUCGUGGGCCGGAUACUGACGCUGAGGGAGCGAAAGCGUGGGGAGCAAACAGG